rnacentral:rRNA from 1 species
CCCUUAGAUGUUCUGGGCCGCACGCGCGCUACACUGACGAAUGCAACGAGCUUAUAACCUUGGCCGAAAGGUCUGGGUAAUCUCCAAAUUUCGUCGUGAUGGGGAUAGAUUAUUGCAAUUAUUAAUCUUCAACGAGUAAUGCCUAGUAAGCGCAAGUCAUCAGCUUGCGUUGAUUACGUCCCUGCCCUUUGUACACACCGCCCGUCGCUCCUACCGAUUGAAUGGUCCGGUGAAGCGCUCGGACCGCGGCCUCUUGACGGUUUUCCGUCGAUUGGCUGUGGGAAGUUCGUUAAACCUUAUCAUUUAGAGGAAGGAGAAGUCGUAACA